rnacentral:rRNA from 1 species
AGAGUUUGAUCAUGGCUCAGGAUGAACGCUAGCUACAGGCUUAACACAUGCAAGUCGAGGGGAAACGACAUCGAAAGCUUGCUUUUGAUGGGCGUCGACCGGCGCACGGGUGAGUAACGCGUAUCCAACCUGCCCACCACUUGGGGAUAACCUUGCGAAAGUAAGACUAAUACCCAAUGACGUCUCUAGAAGACAUCUGAAAGAGAUUAAAGAUUUAUCGGUGAUGGAUGGGGAUGCGUCUGAUUAGCUUGGUUGGCGGGGUAACGGCCCACAAGGCGACGAUCAGUAGGGGUUCUGAGAGGAAGGUCCCCCANAUUGGAACUGAGACACGGUCCAAAACUCCCGUAACGGGGAGCA